AGAGUUAAACAGUACGUGAAAUUGUUGAAAGGGAAACGAUUGAAGUCAGUCGUGCCGGCGCGAAAUCAGCUUGACCGGUAGGAGAUCACAGGCUGUGGCGAGCCUCAAAACCGCCACAACUCGUGCUCUCUUGUCGGCUGGUUAACAUCAAUUUCGAUCGUCAUAAAAAGGCUGGAGGGAUGUGGCUCCUUCGGGAGUGUUAUAACCUUUGGCGGAAUGUGGUGAUCGUGAUUGAGGCUUGCAACGAAUACCUUCAGGGCUGUCCCACCUGGCCUCUCGUCGGCAUCCUGGCGACGACAGCUUGCUUGACGUUGUUAGGAUCAGCUUUCGAACAGGCUAGAGUGUGAGCAAAUUCGUUAAGGAUGUUAACGUAAUGGCUUUAAACGACC
rnacentral:sRNA from 1 species